GCCGCAGUAGCUCAGCCUGGAUAGAGCAUCCAACUCCUACUUGGAUUGCCGGCCGUUCAAAUCGGCCCUGUGGCU